rnacentral:lncRNA from 1 species
ACUGCUGCCCUUCGCCGCCGCCCCCGGCAGUGCUCGCUCUCUCUAGGCCCCAUGUAAAUCGCUGUGUUUGCUGGGGAGCCCUUAGUUCAAUUCUCAGGGGAUUAGGGCCAUUGAGAUUCUUAAUCAAUUGCUGGGUUCCACGCGAUCCUCUUUAGAAACUUUUUGCUUAAUAUGCAUCUAGAGACAUGCACGGCCCGCCUGCAGCGCUGGAGCCGAUGGAGUGGAGCCUGGGAGGCUGCAGGCGACCCCCAGGCUUCUAAACAGCAACGUCAGUUUAAUUAUUGCAGAUCCGUCACAGCUGCCAAGUCCUCUCUGUCUUCGUUGUUGUUAACGGGGAAACUUGCCGCCCGGUGGCUUUGCUUCAGGCGGAAGUCCGCGUGCUUUGAUACCCUCAGGGGGCACUUACAGGCUAGGUGGACACAGGGCUAGGGGUAAGAAUGCAGCAGUGAACAUGGUUCCUGCACUCAUGAAGCAAAUGUAUCCACUGUGGUACAAAAGAGACUGUAAAAAACAAACCCAAAUGGACAACAGGAAAAGACAGAAGCUGAUUGAGGUCCCAGCUUGGUAACAGUUUGAAGAGUUGCAGGACUGGCUGGAUGAGUACUGGCUGCAGCAAAUCAGGCUGCCAGGAUUCUUUAUGGCUGUUUCUGCUUCCACUACAGCUGAGUCAGAAAGGUCGCUGCCCCGUGGUGGCACUAGACGCAGUGGACCUGGCAAGCAAAUGUUUCCGCUAUUAGCUCUCAGCAACAGAGACUCAUUUAUGGUCACCUUGGAAAUCUGGGCUUAUCGAUCUACAGCCCAAGUCUGCUGAGAAGCUGGAGCUUACUAAAGGGGAAACCUGAGAGCUGUUCAAGCCCCAAAUAUUUUCCACUUCUGCGUCACCUCUGCUGUCUGUUAGCAGAGUGGAGGAGAAAAUACACAGCACAAACAACGUGAAAAAAUAGUUACUCUAUUCAUUAAAAGCUGUAACUUCCAGAUUGGACUUGAGAAGCAAUUAAGCAACAGAGGAACCUCAUCUACUAUCUGUAUUCAGGCAUGCUCAUGAGAACACGCUGCUCCAGCUGG